AUGUAGUGCCUGAGUUUAAAAGGGUGAUCUUGAUAGGAUCAAUCAUGUGUAUGACACCUUCAUAA
rnacentral:tRNA from 1 species